UAUGUAUAGAGAAAGAGCAGUGGGAAUGGGGUCAGCCCUGGGGGAAUCACCAAUACCUAAAGAAUGGGAGGAAGGAGGAUUCUCGGAGGAGAAAUAAAAAGGUAGCUGCCCAGUGCUCACGAAGUAUCUUCAUCACUUGGAAAGAGACUGUAUGAGCAUUUGGUUUUUAAGUGGAUAAAAAUCCUCCACUGUCAAAUAAAUCACAGUAAACAAAUAUGAGUAUUGAACGGUUUCUGUGAGAGAAAUAUUACAUUCUAGCAAAUUAUUAGAAAACAUCAGAUGAAUUUGAACUGGAUACUUUGGCACAGACCAGAGAAUAAGAAGACAGAAGGCAAAUUUUGUAUUAUCUGUUCCAACCCCAUUUGUGCAACUACUUCAGUGGAUAAGUUGGGUGACUCUUGCUGUGUUGGCGCCUGAAUUUUUGCACACAUUUCAGGUAGAAAAAAAUGUGGAAAACUGAGAUAUACUCGAACUAGAAUCAUGAAUGGAUCAUGCUGAUGAAAAUCUGAGAAAUAUAUCCUAAGAAGAAAGUUUGAAAGAACUGGUAAAACAUAAAAAUGUCUUCAAGAAUCUCAAGGCUGCCAGGAAAAUGGUUAAAUCUACUAUUUUCGUGCAGCCCUAAGAAAUAGAAAUUCGGAUGGUGCAAUCCAAAAAGUAAUAUUUUUAAAAUUCAGAGCAUGCCAAACUAGAAAAGUUUGGUCAGGAGAAGCUGUGCAAAUAAAAGAGAUACGUAGAAGAACCCAAACAUGGAGCUCAGGACAUAGGAACUAACACCCAGAUGACCAUCAGUAUUCCUUCUAAUCAAGAGCUUCUGUGAAACUUCUUCCAUUCCGCCUUUUGAUCCCAGUUCCUACUGCAAGACCAAAUUUGGUCUGAUGGGACAAAUGGAUCUGACAUGGACAAGCAUGGCUAAGACACUUUGGGAUACAAGAGAAACGUUUUGUUUCUUCAAAAUAUAUGAUGAUUAAAACACACUUUGCAUGCUUUCAUAACUGGUGAAGAGUCCAUAUAAAACCUGCACGUGAAUGUUUCAAAAACUUUAUUUGUAAUUGCCAAAAACCGGAAGGAACCAAGUUGUCCGUGAAUAUGUACACGGAUAAACUGGUGCAUUCAUAUAAUGGAAUAUUGUUCAGAAAUAAAAAGAAACGAGCUAUCAAGCUAUAAAAGGACAAGGAUGAAUCUUAAAAGCAUGUUGUUAAGCAAAAGUCAAUCUGAAAAGGCUACGUACUUUAUGAUUCUGUAUAUAUGACAUUCUGGAAAAGACAAAACUAUUGAGAUAGGAAAGUGGUUGCCAGAGGGUUAGGGGCAAGGGAGU